rnacentral:rRNA from 1 species
UGGGGAAUCUUGGACAAUGGGCGCAAGCCUGAUCCAGCCAUGCCGCGUGCGGGAAGAAGGCCUUCGGGUUGUAAACCGCUUUUGUCAGGGAAGAAAUCUUCUGAGUUAAUACCUCGGGAGGAUGACGGUACCUGAAGAAUAAGCACCGGCUAACUACGUGCCAGCAGCCGCGGUAAUACGUAGGGUGCAAGCGUUAAUCGGAAUUACUGGGCGUAAAGCGUGCGCAGGCGGUUUUGUAAGACAGAGGUGAAAUCCCCGGGCUCAACCUGGGAACUGCCUUUGUGACUGCAAGGCUUGAGUGCGGCAGAGGGGGGAUGGAAUUCCGCGUGUAGCAGUGAAAUGCGUAGAUAUGCGGAGGAACACCGAUGGCGAAGGCAAUCCCCUGGGCCUGCACUGACGCUCAUGCACGAAAGCGUGGGGAGCAAACAGGAUUAGAUACCCUGGUGGUCCACGCCCUAAAACGAUGUCAACUGGUUGUUGGGAAGGUUCCUUCUCAGUAACGUAGCUAACGCGUGAAGUUGACCGCCUGGGGAGUACGGCCGCAAGGUUG